AUUGAACGCUGGCGGCAGGCCUAACACAUGCAAGUCGAGCGAGCGGCGGACGGGUGAGUAAUGUCUGGGAAACUGCCUGAUGGAGGGGGAUACCUACUGGAAACGGUAGCUAAUACCGCAUACCAUCAGAUGUGCCCAGAUCGGAUUGGCUAGUAGGUGGGGUAACGGCUCACCUAGGCGACGAUCCCUAGCGAGUCUGAGAGGCUGACCAGCCACACUGGAACUGAGAAGCGGUCCAGACUCCUACGUGAGGCAGCAGUGGGAAAUAUUGCACAAUGGGCGCAAGCCUGAUGCAGCCAUGCCGCGUGUAUGAAGAAGGCUGUCGGGUUGUAAAGUACUUUCAGCGGGGAGGCGUUACCCGCAGAAGAAGCACCGGCUAACUCCGGGCCAGCCGCCGCGGUAAUAC
rnacentral:rRNA from 1 species